UACGAAGGUGGCAAGCGUUGUUCGGAUUUACUGGGCGUACAGGGAGCGUAGGCGGUUGGAUAAGCCCUCCGUGAAAUCUCCAGGCUUAACCUGGAAAGUGCAGAGGGGACUGUUCAGCUAGAGGAUGGGAGAGGAGCGCGGAAUUCCCGGUGUAGCGGUGAAAUGCGUAGAGAUCGGGAGGAAGGCCGGUGGCGAAGGCGGCGCUCUGGAACAUUUCUGACGCUGAGGCGCGAAAGCGUGGGGAGCAAACAGG
rnacentral:rRNA from 1 species